rnacentral:rRNA from 1 species
UGGGGAAUAUUGCACAAUGGGCGCAAGCCUGAUGCAGCCAUGCCGCGUGUAUGAAGAAGGCCUUCGGGUUGUAAAGUACUUUUAGCGGGGAGGAAGGGAGUAAAGUUAAUACCUUUGCUCAUUGACGUUACCCGCAGAAGAAGCACCGGCUAACUCCGUGCCAGCAGCCGCGGUAAUACGGAGGGUGCAAGCGUUAAUCGGAAUUACUGGGCGUAAAGCGCACGCAGGCGGUUUGUUAAGUCAGAUGUGAAAUCCCCGGGCUCAACCUGGGAACUGCAUCUGAUACUGGCAAGCUUGAGUCUCUUAGAGGGAGGUAGAAUUCCAGGUGUAGCGGUGAAAUGCGUAGAUAUCUGGAAGAAUACCGGUGGCGAAGGCGGGCCCCUGGACGAAGACUGACGCUCAGGUGCGAAAGCGUGGGGAGCAAACAGG